GACGGAGGGGGCAAGCGUUAUCCGGAAUCAUUGGGCGUAAAGCGUACGCAGGCGGCGAUUUAAGUCUCCUGUCAAAGCCCCGGGCUCAACCCGGGGAAGGCAGUGGAAACUGAAUAGCUAGAGUGCGGUAGGGGCAGAGGGAAUUCCCGGUGUAGCGGUGAAAUGCGUAGAGAUCGGGAAGAAGACCAGUGGCGAAAGCGCUCUGCUGGGCCUGCGCUGACACUGAGGCACGAGAGCUAGGGGAGCGAAGAGG
rnacentral:rRNA from 1 species